UACGUAGGUGGCAAGCGUUACUCGGAAUCACUAGGCGUAAAGCGCAGGUAGGCGGCUCGGUAAGUCUUUUGUGAAAGCUCCUGGCUCAACUGGGAGAGGCCAAGGGAAACUGCCGGGCUAGAGUGUGGUAGGGGAGACUGGAAUUCCUGGUGUAGCGGUGAAAUGCGUAGAUAUCAGGAGGAAUACCUAUGGCGAAAGCAGGUCUCUGGGCCAUCACUGACGCUGAGCUGCGAAAGCUAGGGGAGCAAACAGG
rnacentral:rRNA from 1 species